ensembl:lncRNA
GUAGAAGAGAGAGAGAGAGGGGGGGGGUAGACAGAUUGUAAAAGAGAGAGGGGGGGGAGGGGGUAGACAGAUUGUAAAAGAGAGAGAGAGAGAGGGGGUAGACAGAUUGUAAAAGAGAGAGAGAGGGGUAGACAGAUUGUAAAAGAGAGAGAGAGAGAGGGGGUAGACAGAUUGUGAAAGAGAGAGAGAGAGAGAGGUAGUAGACAGAUUGUGAAAGAGAGAGAGAGAGAGAGGGGUAGACAGAUUGUGAAAGAGAGAGAGAGAGAGGGGUAGACAGAUUGUAAAAGAGAGAGAGAGAGAGGGGUAGACAGAUUGUAAAAGAGAGAGAGAGAGAGAGAGAGAGGGGUAGACAGAUUGUGAAAGAGAGAGAGAGAGAGAGAGGGAGAGAGAGAGAGAGAGGGGUAGACAGAUUGUGAAAGAGAGAGAGAGAGAGGGGUAGACAGA